UGCGAUAUCUACACCGUCUGCACCGCGUGCGUUUUCGCUCCGUGCGCGCUUCUCUCGGCGCGAGUCGCCGGCGUUUGCAUGAUAAAUCGUUCGUGAGUGCAUACACGAUUCGGCCCCAGGAUCCCAGCAUCCAUGCGAGCGCAGUGCCAUACGACACCACUACGUUUCACGAGCAGCGGCCGCGAAGAGUCGUCGACAGUCACCGUUCGCUCGCGCGUCGCGACGUAUCAUCGCCAUUUCACUGACGCGCGGAACGAACACCACGGCGACGCUGCCACGGCAGACAGGACGCUGCUGCGCUAAGCAGACCGGGACGCGUGUGACGAUGGAGAAGAGCUGAGUACGGCUUAUCGUCGACCGGGUACACGAGUGAUGAGCGGUUCGCGACUUGGCAGAGGUCGGUGCGGCCGCCUGGCCGUGUUCGGGGGCUGCGGGGCGGUGGUUCUGUUCUUCGUGUUCCUCUACCGCGCCGCCACUUCGGAGAUGGCCAGGCUACGGGCACAAAACGAACAAUGCGCUCAACAGCAGGAGGCUCUCGCCGCUCAGUUGCAAGUUAUAUUUGAGUACAAAGUUCGAUUGGAGAAGUCCCUGGCCGAGGAGAAAAGCUCGAACGCCGCGGUGAAGCAGGAGUUGCAGCAACGCGCGUCGCGGGAGAAAUCGUUGCGCGACAAGGACAGCGUGGAGGCGAUGCAGAGGUUCAAUUCGCUUCAGCAGACCUACAAGCUUCUGCAGACGGAGCAUCAGGAUCUGCAGGAUGAGUGUAAGAAGCAUGAGAAGCAGGCGCUGGACGAGACCAAUAGAUUGGAGACGACGCUACAGGAUCUACGCGGUCGCAUUCGGCAAGCGCAAGAGGAUAAGAUAAAAGCUCUGGAGGACUUGAAGAGCAAGUACCUGGAACUAGACACGGACAAAACGAAUCUCGAGAACAAGUACAACGAACUGAUAAAAGCUAACGGCGAUACGAAUAGUAUUAUCGAGCACCUUAGGAAAGAGGUUUUCCAGCUCAAGCGUGAACUGGCUAAGGAAAAACACUAUACUAGAAGUACACCUUCUACCGCAUCUCUGAUGAAUCUUAAGGAGUUGGCGCCGCAAUCAGUAUUGCAGAAGGAGGACUCGAAGCCGAUCCCGGCGCCGCAACAGCAGCAACAACAGAACGUGAUGCACGUCUCCGCAAGUUCGCGAAAAAUGGAGAACUCCACCGUGACGAGCAAUGCUAACUUGGUGUCGCCGUCCCUCGUCGACAAGGCCGCGCCGGCCAGACCGUUGUUGAAGGUCAAACUGCCAGUCGGCGUAUUGCCAAUUCCGGAAAUCAUCGAGCCGAAAGUCGCGGACGAGGAGAAGCGACAGCAGGAGGAGAUCCAAAAGCGCGACGACGCGGCAGCUCAUAACAAUCAACAACUGCCAGGGAAUGCAGCGGACAAUAAAGAGGAGAAGGAACCGAUUGUCGAAGCUGGCAACCUAGAUCAACCAUUCGUCGCGAAUCCUCCCGCCGUGCGACAUAUCGGUGAGCAAAUAGUGGAGAGGAGAGCGAAAGACAGUUGGUUUAAAAUGGAACCAGGAGUGCAGGAAGUCGGCGAGGAACCUAAUCAGUUGGGUCGAGUUCCUGGACUGGACGAUGGGCAAGGUAACGAUGAUCAGUACGACGGCGGUGAUUACGAUAAAGAACCGCAGCAAAAGAAUGAUAUUCACCUAGCGGAGGGCGAAGAUGAGGGAGAAGACGAGGGCGACAUGCUUGAAUAUCCGCAUAAUUUGAAGCAGGGAAAGCGGGAAUAAAAUCUGCACCAUCGUUCGAACAUUUUUUACGCGAUCGGCGGCCUGAGAGGAGACCGGCUGGAAAUAGUCAAUCGAUUUGACCUGCCAUGACCUGAUCUGGCCGAUGUUUACAAUAGUCCGGAUUUAAUCAGCGAAGAAUACUUAAUAUUAUAAGUCUGCACGAAUCAUUCGAUGACGUCUCUCGGAGCAGGUAUUUUAGCGCGAUUCAAUUCAUCUUUAUAACAUACGAACUUUCACACGAAAUUUUAGCUAAAUAUGUAUGAUAGUAUAUACGGUACAAAUAUCGCCAACCGCACCCCUGAGCGCCCGGCAGAGGUUUAGGUGGUUUUGAUAAUCUCGAAAGAUUCUUCGUUUCUCGAAGAAAAAAAAAAAGACAGACUGUAUUUUUCUAGAUUAAGAUCCACAGCACGUGUGACUGCAUCAAGAGUGACUUAACUUACUGACAACUUUGUUAUUAGUACAAGUGCGUCAAUUUGAAUUUAUAUUGCAUUAGGAAAGUUAAUUUUAGUAUUGAUUUCAUCAAUUUUAUUAAGACAGCUUAUGUUAAUAAAAACAUGAACGAUUCUUUCAACUUUGUUUCUUCUUCUACUGAUGGCCUUUUUGGCUAGUGUAGAUUAUUUGUCGUGAAUUUAAUGGUUAUCGUGUCGUAAAAUUAACAUUCGCUGGUGAACUCGACCAAUAGCGGAAGGAAAAGCGAUAUCUUAUUUGUCGAAUCUCGAAUCUCGUUGUCGAAAAUUAAAAAAAAUAAUGACUUAACUGGUGGAAUUACGAAGCGAUUCAUGAUGAACGUAGCGUAAUAUUUUGUUAUAGUUCUAGAUACAGUUAUAUAUAGACAUAUGCAGAGAGAGAUGUAAAUGUACAUAAUGUUCUUUUCGUAAUAAAAAUUAUUGAAAAACAUA